rnacentral:rRNA from 1 species
AUUGAACGCUGGCGGCAUGCCCUACACAUGCAAGUCGAACGGCAGCACGGGAGCAAUCCUGGUGGCGAGUGGCGAACGGGUGAGUAAUAUAUCGGAACGUGCCCAGUCGUGGGGGAUAACGCAGCGAAAGCUGUGCUAAUACCGCAUACGAUCUAUGGAUGAAAGCGGGGGAUCGCAAGACCUCGCGCGAUUGGAGCGGCCGAUAUCAGAUUAGCUAGUUGGUGGGGUAAAGGCCCACCAAGGCGACGAUCUGUAGCUGGUCUGAGAGGACGACCAGCCACACUGGAACUGAGACACGGGCCAGACUCCUACGGGAGGCAGCAGUGGGGAAUUUUGGACAAUGGGCGCAAGCCUGAUCCAGCAAUGCCGCGUGCAGGAUGAAGGCCUUCGGGUUGUAAACUGCUUUUGUACGGAACGAAACGGUCUGCCCUAAUACGGUGGGCUAAUGACGGUACCGUAAGAAUAAGCACCGGCUAACUACGUGCCAGCCGCCGCCGUAA